CCAGACUCCUACGGGAGGCAGCAGUGGGGAAUAUUGCACAAUGGGGGAAACCCUGAUGCAGCGACGCCGCGUGAGCGAUGAAGUAUUUCGGUAUGUAAAGCUCUAUCAGCAGGGAAGAAAAUGACGGUACCUGACUAAGAAGCCCCGGCUAACUACGUGCCAGCAGCCGCGGUAAUACGUAGGGGGCAAGCGUUAUCCGGAUUUACUGGGUGUAAAGGGAGCGUAGACGGCUGUGCAAGCCAGAUGUGAAAGCCCGGGGCUCAACCCCGGGACUGCAUUUGGAACUGCGUGGCUUGAGUACUGGAGAGGCAGACGGAAUUCCUAGUGUAGCGGUGAAAUGCGUAGAUAUUAGGAGGAACACCAGUGGCGAAGGCGGUCUGCUGGACAGCAACUGACGUUGAGGCUCGAAGGCGUGGGGAGCAAACAGGAUUAGAUACCCGCGUACC
rnacentral:rRNA from 1 species